GCUUAACCGAAUAGGGAAGGCGUAGCGAAAGCGAGUCCGAAUAGGGCGUUCAGUCGCUGGGUGUAGACCCGAAACCAAGUGAUCUAUCCAUGGCCAGGAUGAAGGUGCGGUAACACGUACUGGAGGUCCGAACCCACUAAUGUUGAAAAAUUAGGGGAUGAGCUGUGGAUAGGGGUGAAAGGCUAAACAAACUUGGAAAUAGCUGGUUCUCUCCGAAAACUAUUUAGGUAGUGCCUCGUGUAUCACCUUCGGGGGUAGAGCACUGUCAUGGUUGAAGGGUCCAUUGCGGAUUACUUCGCCAUAGCAAACUCCGAAUACCGAAGAGUGCAAUCACGGGAGACAGACAUCGGGUGCUAACGUCCGGUGUCAAGAGGGAAACAACCCAGACCGCCAGCUAAGGUCCCUAAAUAUUGCUAAGUGGGAAACGAAGUGGGAAGGCUAAAACAGUCAGGAGGUUGGCUUAGAAGCAGCCACCCUUUAAAGAAAGCGUAAUAGCUCACUGAUCGAGUCGUCCUGCGCGGAAGAUGUAACGGGGCUAAGCAAUAUACCGAAGCUGCGGAUGCGAGCUUGCUCGCAUGGUAGGAGAGCGUUCUGUAAGCCUGUGAAGGUGUCUUGUAAAGGAUGCUGGAGGUAUCAGAAGUGCGAAUGCUGACAUGAGUAGCGAUAAAGGGGGUGAAAGGCCCCCUCGCCGUAAGCCCAAGGUUUCCUACGCAACGUUCAUCGGCGUAGGGUGAGUCGGCCCCUAAGGCGAGGCAGAGAUGCGUAGCUGAUGGGAAGCAGGUUAAUAUUCCUGCACCGUCGUAUGAUGCGAUGGGGGGACGGAUCGCGGAAGGUUGUCCGGGUGUUGGAAGUCCCGGUCCCUGCAGUGGAGAAGGCGCUUAGGCAAAUCCGGGCGCGUAAUUCAAGGCUGUGGGGCGAGCGAACUUGUUCGCGAAGCAAUUGGAAGUGGUUCCAAGAAAAGCCUCUAAGCUUCAGUCAUACGAGACCGUACCGCAAACCGACACAGGUGGGCGAGAUGAGUAUUCUAAGGCGCUUGAGAGAACUCGGGAGAAGGAACUCGGCAAAUUGGUACCGUAACUUCGGGAUAAGGUACGCCCUUGUAGCUUGACUGGCCUGCGCCAGGAGGGUGAAGGGGUUGCAAUAAACUGGUGGCUGCGACUGUUUAAUAAAAACACAGCACUCUGCAAACACGAAAGUGGACGUAUAGGGUGUGACGCCUGCCCGGUGCCGGAAGAUUAAAUGAUGGGGUGCAAGCUCUUGAUUGAAGUCCCGGUAAACGGCGGCCGUAACUAUAACGGUCCUAAGGUAGCGAAAUUCCUUGUCGGGUAAGUUCCGACCUGCACGAAUGGCGUAACGAUGGCCACACUGUCUCCUCCCGAGACUCAGCGAAGUUGAAGUGUUUGUGAUGAUGCAAUCUACCCGCGGCUAGACGGAAAGACCCCAUGAACCUUUACUGUAGCUUUGCAUUGGACUUUGAACCGGUCUGUGUAGGAUAGGUGGGAGGCUUUGAAGCAGGAACGCUAGUUUCUGUGGAGCCGUCCUUGAAAUACCACCCUGGCUUGUUUGAGGUUCUAACCUAGGUCCGUAAUCCGGAUCGGGGACAGUGCAUGGUAGGCAGUUUGACUGGGGCGGUCUCCUCCCAAAGUGUAACGGAGGAGUACGAAGGUACGCUAGGUACGGUCGGAAAUCGUGCUGAUAGUGCAAUGGCAAAAGCGUGCUUAACUGCGAGACUGACAAGUCGAGCAGGUGCGAAAGCAGGUCAUAGUGAUCCGGUGGUUCUGUAUGGAAGGGCCAUCGCUCAACGGAUAAAAGGUACUCUGGGGAUAACAGGCUGAUACCGCCCAAGAGUUCAUAUCGACGGCGGUGUUUGGCACCUCGAUGUCGGCUCAUCUCAUCCUGGGGCUGUAGCCGGUCCCAAGGGUAUGGCUGUUCGCCAUUUAAAGAGGUACGUGAGCUGGGUUUAAAACGUCGUGAGACAGUUUGGUCCCUAUCUGCCGUGGGCGUUGGAAGUUUGAAGGGGGCUGCUCCUAGUACGAGAGGACCGGAGUGGACGAACCUCUGGUGUACCGGUUGUCACGCCAGUGGCAUCGCCGGGUAGCUAUGUUCGGAAGAGAUAACCGCUGAAAGCAUCUAAGCGGGAAACUCGCCUUAAGAUGAGACUUCCCUAGGAACUCGAUUCCUUUGAAGGGUCGUUCAAGACCAGGACGUUGAUAGGUCAGGUGUGGAAGCGCAGUAAUGCGUUAAGCUAACUGAUACUAAUUGCCCGUAAGGCUUGAUCC
rnacentral:rRNA from 1 species